rnacentral:rRNA from 1 species
AGUACGGCCGCAAGGUUAAAACUCAAAUGAAUUGACGGGGGCCCGCACAAGCGGUGGAGCAUGUGGUUUAAUUCGAUGCAACGCGAAGAACCUUACCUACUCUUGACAUCCUAAGAAGAGCUCAGAGAUGAGCUUGUGCCUUCGGGAACUUAGAGACAGGUGCUGCAUGGCUGUCGUCAGCUCGUGUUGUGAAAUGUUGGGUUAAGUCCCGCAACGAGCGCAACCCUUAUCCUUUGUUGCCAGCGAUUUGGUCGGGAACUCAAAGGAGACUGCCAGUGACAAACUGGAGGAAGGUGGGGAUGACGUCAAGUCAUCAUGGCCCUUACGAGUAGGGCUACACACGUGCUACAAUGGUGCAUACAGAGGGCAGCGAGAGUGCGAGCUUGAGCGAAUCUCAGAAAGUGCAUCUAAGUCCGGAUUGGAGUCUGCAACUCGACUCCAUGAAGUCGGAAUCGCUAGUA